UACGUAGGGUGCGAGCGUUGUCCGGAAUUAUUGGGCGUAAAGGGCUCGUAGGCGGUUUGUCGCGUCGGGAGUGAAAACCCAGGGCUUAACCCUGGGCUGGCUUCCGAUACGGGCAGACUAGAGGUAUGCAGGGGAGAACGGAAUUCCUGGUGUAGCGGUGAAAUGCGCAGAUAUCAGGAGGAACACCGGGGGCGGAGGCGGUUCUCUGGGCAUUACCCGGCGGUGAGGAGCGAAAGUGUGGGGAGCGAACAGG
rnacentral:rRNA from 1 species